ensembl:lncRNA
CUUCAGUCAACAUACAUUAGCUGCAUUCUUCUCUUUUGGAGGAUCCCAAAUGUAAACUGGCCUAAUUGGGCAGUAGCUUGUUCUGUUUCCUAUCCUUUGUUAUUCUCUAUGGAAGUCUAGUUAAGUCUUUUGAACGACUUAAAGGUGCUUUCUAUGUGCAAUGAAUCCAGAGUUUUUCCAAAGUGACAGAUUCAUCCCCUGUCCCCUUAUAAAGCUGCUUUAAGCUUUACAUUAGAUUUAAAUUUCAUUUCAUUUUCAAAACGUUGUUUUCAUUGUUACUUUCUCUAGUCCUCAAAUUGUGACUAUUAAGUCACUGUCUGCUAUAUUAAGUGCUAAUGGAAGUGCCAACAGUAAACUGAGAUGAAACAUGUUUUUUCUCCUUCUCUCUACAGCCUGACAGACUGCAGUAUUACAGAGGAAGGCUUCAGUUCUCUUGCAUCAGCACUGAGAUCAAACCCCUCACACAUCAGAGAGCUGUGGCUGAAUGGGAAUAAAGCAGGAGACUCAGAAGUGAAGCAUCUUCUUCUCUUCUGGAGGAUCCCAACUGUAAACUGGAGAUACUAGGAAAUAUGGAUGUGGUUUAUUUUGAUGUCUUACAUGUCCAGCAUGCACAGAACACAUGAGCCUGAUGUGGUGCAGUAUUACAGAUAAAGGCCUCAGAUCUUUACUAUCAGCAGUGAGAUCAAACCCAUCAGCACUCAGAGAGAUUCAGCUGGUUGGGAAUUAUCCUGGACCCUCAACAUGGCAGCUGAUCUCUGAAUUUAAGAAAGAUCCAAACUGUAAACAUAUCAGCAUAUAUAUCUAGACUCUCAUGAAUCCAUUCACAUUUUGUUCCACAUUAAAUAUUCCUCUACAUUGUGUAUAAAACAAAUAAUGUCAGUAGUGUAUCAAGAAUGUUUUCAUUAAUAUUCCCUUAAUUCUAAUAUUGAUAAUAAACAUGACCGAUGAGAACAGAUUAAUGUUUAUUGUUCAAUGAUUCUAUAUUUGUGGUC